UGAUACACAAAGUAUACGGUCCCAGCUCCCUGCUUGUCUUCCUCUGACACCACCUUUUUGGGGUGGUAUGGGAUUUCUUUCUACAGCCACACAAGGGUGAAAAAUGAUGCCAUCCAGGAGUCACAGAAGACAAGUGGCAGCACUUAAAGACCUGAAGCAAGCUGGGCACAGUUUCUGUAAUUGGCAGCAGAGCCCAAGAGCCAUCCAAAAAACAUGUGUGGACAGAAAGAGUCCAUAAGACCUAAAUGUCCUGGAAGGUGAAGCCAAACUAUUGAGAAAAUUACCUGAAGAGUCUUCCAGAGGCUGAGACUUCACCUGAGCAAGAAAUAAAUGCUUCUUACAUUAA